AAUUCUCAUUUAAAGAGACAAAACAAUUUUGUUCUCUACCUAAUUUGGGCCAUCAUGCAAUAACCACAACUUAUUUGGGCUAUAAAGCAAUUAACCUGAACUUUUGGGCUAUAUUGCAAAACUUUUGGGGUCACUUUGUAAAGACACAAAAGUCUACUACUUCAUGUAAUUACAAUAGAACCCAAAAUUUAAUCAAUGCAAAAACUUCAUUAAAGGAGCAAAACA
rnacentral:lncRNA from 1 species